rnacentral:tRNA from 1 species
GCCUUCAUGGUGUAACCGGAUAGCACAUUUGGCUAGCAAUCAGGAGGUCUUGUGUUUGAUUUUCAGUGAGUGCA